rnacentral:ncRNA from 1 species
CGGUAGAGGUGCAUUGUGUCAUGAGUACUGCAGAUGCAAAAGGGUUGACCGCCCGUUGUCGGCAGGAAAGGGGCAGGUGCCGAAGGCAGACUGCGGUCGCGUCUGUCCUGGUUUGGGUGAAUAAGAUCACCCCGACUGUCGCUUUUGCGGAGAGCUAUCUGA